UUUAUACGUCGAAUUUCGGUCGCGUCGAAUGCAACUAAUACAAUAGAUAAUGAGAUGAUAAACCUCAUUAAGCUUCAUUAUCUAUUGUUUGAUUUGCAUUCGACGCGACCGAAAUUCGACGUAUAAA
rnacentral:miRNA from 1 species